rnacentral:rRNA from 1 species
UACGGGGGGGGCAAGCGUUGUUCGGAAUUACUGGGCGUAAAGGGCUCGUAGGUGGCCAACUAAGUCAGACGUGAAAUCCCUCGGCUUAACCGGGGAACUGCGUCUGAUACUGGAUGGCUUGAGUUUGGGAGAGGGAUGCGGAAUUCCAGGUGUAGCGGUGAAAUGCGUAGAUAUGCGGAGGAACACCGAUGGCGAAGGCAAUCCCCUGGACCUGUACUGACGCUCAUGCACGAAAGCGUGGGGAGCAAACAGG